CCGAGUCUAGUUCUUUCGAUAUCAAUGUAAUCUAGUAAUCAUUUUUUUUCUUCCUUAAAAUAAAAUAUCAUGACUACUAGAUUACAUUGACAUUGAAGGAACUACACUCG